rnacentral:rRNA from 1 species
UCGAGAAUCUUCCACAAUGGACGAAAGUCUGACGGAGCGACACCGCGUGAUGGAUGAAGACCCUCUGGGUCGUAAACAUCUUUUAUGAGGGAGAAAGUUUAUUGAUAGUACCUCACGAAUAAGGGGUUGCUAAACUCGUGCCAGCAGCAGCGGUAAUACGAGUGCCCCGAGCGUUAUCCGGAAUCAUUGGGCGUAAAGGGUGUGUAGGUGGCAGUGUUAGUCAACUGUUAAAACCCGGGGCUCAACCCCAGAAGUGCGAUCGAAACGGCACAGCUAGAGGAUGGCAGGGAUCUGUGGAACUCAUGGAGUAGGGGUGAAAUCCGUUGAUAUCAUGGGGAACACCGAAAGCGAAAGCAGCAGAUUGGGCCACUCCUGACACUGAAACACGAAAGCGUGGGUAGCGAAUGGGAUUAGAUACCCCCGUAGUCC